ensembl:lncRNA
CCAGGAUGGGAGUGUGUGGGAAGACGGCGGCACCAGCACGGAGCACUGGGCUGGGAGCACAUGGGAAGACAGCGGAUGGAGCACUGGGCCGGGAGCACGCGGGAAGACAGCGGCACCGGGAUGGGCCACCGGGAUGGGAACGCCGCUAUCGCUCCUCCUGGAAGCCGCUUUUAUUUCGGCGAUUUUGGAGUUUUAUCCUGGCCGGAGGUGACGCGCUCAGCACGGUUCCCGCACUCCGCCACCGGGACACUUCCCAGGUUCCCGCGCCUCGCGGGAAAGGCCGCAGGGCUCCCUCGGAACCRUGGGCACGGGACCACGGAUCGGGACGCUCAUGCCAACCGGGCCCCGUGGAAAGCCAGGGCUCGGAAGCGAGCGGCCCCUCGCRAGGCGGCGCGGGAGGAAACGCCGUUGGGGCUCCGGGUGACUUGGCAUUUCCUGACUUUAUUUUUUCACCCAAGACCUUUAAAAACAACAAAAAAAAGAAGAAAACACCCGGAAAAAAGAAAAUAACAACCCCCCCUCCGGUGCGGUUUUGCCGCUCGCUCGCGUUUCCCCUCCCCUCGGCCGGCGCCCGCCUCUUCCCGGAGCGGCAGCGGCUCCUCGGCUCGGCUCGGCCGCGCGUCCACCUGCCACGGCGGGCGAUGGAGCCGCCGUGCCGCCAGGUACCGGCGGGAAAGGCGGUGCAUGGAGAGGGAGGUUUGGUUUCGGAUGCUCCGCGUGGGAUGGGGCGACGCCGGGAACGGGGCGCUCCGGGUGCACCCCGCCGCCGCGGCUCCGGGGCGGAACGCCGCGCGCGGCCUCGACGGGAGGGCGCCGGGGUCGGGUUCGGCUUCGCGGCAUCCGGUUUUUUCCGCUUUUUCGCAUCCGUCGGGUGCCGAAGGAGCCGGGGCUGGAGCAGGCGGGCGGGUGGGUGCCGAGUGCCCCGGGGAUGUGGGUGGCCGAGUUUCCCUCCGGCACCGGGAUGCUCUGGGACAGCCCUGGAGAGGGGACGGUCCCUGCAGGUGUUCGGGAUGCUCCGGGGUGCCGCACGGGAAUGCGGGACGCUCCGGGGCRCACGGGGACACGGGAUGCUCCAGGGUGCUGCAGGGGCGCACGGCGAUGCAGGUCACCCCAGGGCGCCACACAGGGUGCACAGGGAUGUGGGUCACCCUGGGGUGCCACGCAGGGUGCACGGGGACACGGGUCACCCCAGGGUGCUGCACGGGGUGCACGGGGACGUGGGUCACCCCGGGGUGCUGCACGGGGUGCAGAAGGAUGUGGGUCACCCCGGGGUGCCACGUGGGGUGCACGGGGACAUGGGUCACCCCAGGGUGCUGCACAGGGUGCACAGGGAUGUGGGUCACCCCAGGGUGCUGCACGGGGACGCAGGGCACCCUGGGGUGCUGCACGGGGUGCACGGGGACGUGGGUCACCCCUGGGGUGCCACACAGGGUGCACAGGGAUGUGGGUCACCCCAGGGUGCUGCACAGGGUGCAGAGGGAUGUGGGUCACCCCAGGGUGCAUGGGGACGUGGGUCACCCCUGGGUGCUGCGCAAGGUGCACAUGGGUCACCCCUGGGUGCUGCACAGGGUGCACAGGGACGCGUGUCACCCCCAGGGUGCACAGGGCGGUGCGUCCGUGCGCGCGCGGCGGAGGCCGGGUGUGAAUCACGGUGUUGCACAACCCGCGCGGCCUCGCGGUUGUGAAACGGUGCCGGCUGCCUGCGKGUUCCCCGGCCGGGCGGCACGCUGGCUGCUGAUUGGCUGCUGGUUGUUUGUGGGGCAGGUGCUCCGCCUGCUG